UCACUUUCCAUCAGAAUCACCUAGAGAGCUUGUUAAAAAGCAUCCUCUGGAACCAUACCAGGAAUUCUGAGUUAGAAUUGAAGAUGGUAGGACCUAGACUCUGUAUUUUUAACAAUCUUCCUAUGUGAUUCAUUUGCAGAGUAAAAUCUGAGAGCGUCUGGCCUCCAGAUCAGGUGCAAACACUUAAGAAUUUCUGAUAAAUACCACCUGACUGGCUCAUUCACUCAAUUCUUGCCACUGCUCCAUGUACUCUCGCACUUGCAGAUGAGAAGACUGAGCUCAGAGAUGACAAGACUUGGAAGAGGCACCUAGCAGGGAAAGCUGAAUGCAGGUGGCAUUUGAAUGAAG